AUUGAACGCUGGCGGCAGGCCUAACGCAUGCAAGUCGAACGGUAACAGGAAGAAGCUUGCUUCUUUGCUGACGAGUGGCGGACGGGUGAGUAAUGUCUGGGAAACUGCCUGAUGGAGGGGGAUAACUACUGGAAACGGUAGCUAAUACCGCAUAACGUCGCAAGACCAAAGAGGGGGACCUUCGGGCCUCUUGCCAUCGGAUGUGCCCAGAUGGGGUUAGCUAGUAGGUGGGGUAACGGCUCACCUAGGCGACGAUCCCUAGCUGGUCUGAGAGGAUGACCAGCCACACUGGAACUGAGACACGGUCCAGACUCCUACGGGAGGCAGCAGUGGGGAAUAUUGCACAAUGGGCGCAAGCCUGAUGCAGCCAUGCCGCGUGUAUGAAGAAGGCCUUCGGGUUGUAAAGUACUUUCAGCGGGGAGGAAGGGAGUAAAGUUAAUACCUUUGCUCAUUGACGUUACCCGCAGAAGAAGCACCGGCUAACUCCGUG
rnacentral:rRNA from 1 species